rnacentral:lncRNA from 1 species
CUGCAGUAUAUCACCAUGGAUGGGGAGCAGGCUGGCGGUGGUGACGACAAUGUGCCAACAAAUAUUGUUGAACGCUAGAUGAAGGAUCUCGUCACCCGCUGGGAAUGACAAGAUUUACACAUCCCAAGCAGAGGACCACAUAGAAAUGGAGAGGCAGACUGGAAGACGCCUCUAAACAUCCCCUUGAUGCUGACUGAAUCACCCACAUGAGCGGAUACAGGAGCGCUCAAGCUACCACUGCCUGCCACCCACCUUCCUAGCAGGUGUGCUUGUGCUGUUACUUUGCUACUUGAUAAAGCAUUGUUCUAUCAGGAUGACCGGGAAGUAGAAACACAAAGGGCCGGUUGCCACGAGCAGAAGGUGGGUCUCACUCAUGGAAUACAGAACACUGCCAAGUCUUGAGGUCAGGAAAGGAAGGACGUCCAUGUGUGAAGCCCUCCCUGGAAGGGAUAGUGAGCCUCAUGAUCUCCCUGCGAUGUCCGGGACCACGAUCCCACUGUGGAGAUGAGAGAACUUAUGCUCAGAGGCCUCGGGGCUAUGCCCACAGGCCGCACUGUCGCUGACAGAGCUGAGACGCCAGUCCAGACUCCUGAGUCCAAAGUUUAGGUGUUUCCCUCUCAAAGGUCUCAAACUGGCAGCUCCAGGGCCAAAUUAGACCUGUCGAUGUGCUUUUGGAGGCCAGCUCGAUGCUUUUAAUUUUUUUGAAAUGAACGGCCAACAUUUGAAAAUCAGAUUUCACAUAGACUUCCAGAUUUCUGGUUUCAUUUGACAAACUGGAAACUUUGACAACCCCAGGCCUGGAACCUCAACAAUUGGCUGCAAUCGGUUGGGGAUGGAGCCAGAAGAGGCGACCCUCUGAGCAUUGAAUGAUGCUGGGACGGGGCCCCUUCAGCAGCAUCACCACCAUCCACCCAUGGCCGAUGCCUGAAAUCCUGCUGUUAGCACGUCAUCUCUUUGGUUAAGGAGUUGCCUCUUCAGGGGUCAUUUUCAAAGGCGAGUACUCCUGGAAGGUAUCAACCAUUCACACUUGAGUAUGAAUUGCUUUCCCAGCCUUCCCAAAUUUUUACAGAUGCUUGAGAACUGAG